AUUGAACGCUGGCGGCAUGCCUUACACAUGCAAGUCGAACGGUAACAGGUCUUCGGAUGCUGACGAGUGGCGAACGGGUGAGUAAUACAUCGGAACGUGCCUAGUAGUGGGGGAUAACUACUCGAAAGAGUGGCUAAUACCGCAUGAGAUCUACGGAUGAAAGCAGGGGAUCGCAAGACCUUGUGCUACUAGAGCGGCCGAUGGCAAAUUAGGUAGUUGGUGGGAUAAAAGCUUACCAAGCCGACGAUCUGUAGCUGGUCUGAGAGGACGAUCAGCCACACUGGGACUGAGAAACGGCCCAGACUCCUACGGGAGGCAGCAGUGGGGAAUUUUGGACAAUGGGCGCAAGCCUGAUCCAGCAAUGCCGCGUGCAGGAUGAAGGCCUUCGGGUUGUAAACUGCUUUUGUACGGAACGAAAAGCCCCGGGUUAAUACCCUGGGGUCAUGACGGUACCGUAAGAAUAAGCACCGGCUAACUACGUGCCAGCCGCCGCUGUAA
rnacentral:rRNA from 1 species